UAAUACGUAGGUGGCAAGCGUUGUCCGGAUUUACUGGGCGUAAAGAGCGCGCAGGCGGUCGUUCAAGUCGGAUGUGAAAGCCCCCGGCUCAACUGGGGAGGGUCAUUCGAUACUGAUCGACUCGAAGGCAGGAGAGGGAAGCGGAAUUCCCGGUGUAGUGGUGAAAUGCGUAGAUAUCGGGAGGAACACCAGUGGCGAAGGCGGCUUCCUGGCCUGUUCUUGACGCUGAGGCGCGAAAGCUAGGGGAGCGAACGGGAUUAGAUACCCCGGUAGUCCUAGCUGUAAACGAUGGACACUAGGUGUUGGUGGUAUCAACCCCGCCAGUGCCGUAGCUAACGCAUUAAGUGUCCCGCCUGGGGAGUACGGCCGCAAGGCU
rnacentral:rRNA from 1 species